rnacentral:rRNA from 1 species
CACGUAGGGCGCGAGCGUUGUCCGGAAUCAUUGGGCGUAAAGCGCACGUAGGCGGCCUGAUAAGUCGGAUGUGAAAUCCCUCGGCUCAACCAAGGAAGUGCAUCCGAAACUGCUGAGCUUGAGUACUUAAGAGGAUCGCGGAAUUCCCGGUGUAGAGGUGAAAUUCGUAGAUAUCGGGAGGAACACCAGUGGCGAAGGCGGCGAUCUGGGAAGAUACUGACGCUGAGGUGCGAAAGCGUGGGGAGCAAACAGG